CGGGUGCCACUCAAAAACAAGAUGAUAAAUAAAUAAAUAAAUUAAUUAAUUAAAUAUGCAAAGGAACUUACAAAUGAGGCUUGCUUGGGGUGGUCCCAGACCUCACACCCACCCAUCAGUCUUAGAGUCUAUGUAGAGGUCUUAACUGGGUUCAGGCGGACUCAACCACACAUUACUUCCAGGCUGCAUCCUUGCAACAGCUCCUAUCAUGGGACAGCCCAAGCUCCCUGACGACAUUGUCCAGAAGAUGCUGAUCUUACCAAGGCAGAAAAAACACAGAGGAGGAACUGCAGGCUUGGGAAGGAAACAGACCUAUCAGCAGGCCCCAAGGACAUUCUCCCGGAUAUUUGAACCUGGCUUCCACCAGGAGGCCCUCAGUCCCUGGGGACAACACAACCUUGAACCCUAAGGAAAAGUUUGAAAACUGCACCUAGAUCAGGAACACUUCCCUAAGUUACGAGUCCAAAGAUGAACACAGGAACGCCUAUGUCAUUUGUAGGGCCCAGCGUGGGAUGAAACUAGGGGGCCCCUUGUCAAGAACUUGUGAGAAACUGAAUUUACAAACGGUCAAGGGCCAGACCAUGUAUAAAAACAUGGAAACCAGGAAACCAGCUCCUCAGCUACAACAACCAGUCCCGGAAGCCAGCCUCCUGCACACAAGUGGUCCUUGCAGGAGGUGAGACCGCCAUCUCAAGCGACAAUCCGGGAGCAAUAGUCCUUGUCACAGUGAGCCCCGAAGGCCAGGGCUCGAUCAAUAACUGACGGUUCCCCGAAUGUCUGUCCCUGCUUUCAACUUAGGACCCACCCGAGAAAGCCAAAUAUGCGUCCUAACGAAUCUCGGAGGAUGCCGCGCUUCUGCGGUAACCUUCCCCGGCCGCAGCCUCCUGCCUGGAGCCUCCGCCUUUCUCCACUUUAUCUAAAGCCACCCAGCCCUUCCUCCUGCCUCGGAGUCUCUGCCAAAAGGCCAGCCUGCCUCCCUUGCUCAGAGACGCUCCGAAUAAACAGCCUUUGCCACUUCUCA